rnacentral:rRNA from 1 species
UACAGAGGGUGCAAGCGUUAAUCGGAAUCACUGGGCGUAAAGAGCGCGUAGGUGGUAAUUUAAGUUAGAUGUGAAAUCCCCGGGCUUAACCUGGGAAGGCCAUCUAAGACUGGGUUACUAGAGUACAGUAGAGGGAAGUGGAAUUUCCGGUGUAGCGGUGAAAUGCGUAGAUAUCGGAAGGAACACCAGUGGCGAAGGCGGCUUUCUGGACUGAUACUGACACUGAGGCGCGAAAGCGUGGGUAGCGAACAGG